GAUUUUACACCCUUCACCCCAAACUGAAAAUUCCUCCAUAGCCUGCAAAGUGCCUAGGAGCUAUAGUCAUGGAUGAGGACUCCAUUAUGCUACAUGCUGUACAAACACAGAGCAAAGAGAUGAUCUAAUACUAAGCUGGGUAGUAUCAAGAGGUUGGAAGUGCACAGACUACGAGUCAUCUUUGAAUUUGUCCUUCCUGGAACAUAGUUUUGUUGUUCAUAUGGGAUGCUUGUUCAUGGUUUAAUGAACCAAGUAUGCUCCACCUUCAUUAUAAUGCUUGCAGUAACUGCUUUCUGAUAAGAUUACUGUACUCUGGCUAUAAUCUCCAUUAAGCUGUAUUCCAGUUAC